rnacentral:rRNA from 1 species
CCAACUUCAUUGCCUUAGUAGCGGCGAGUGAAGCGGCAAUAGCUCAAAUUUGAAAUCUGGCACUUUCAGUGUCCGAGUUGUAAUUUGAAGAAGGUAUCUUUGGGUCUAGCUCUUGUCUAUGUUUCUUGGAACAGAACGUCACAGAGGGUGAGAAUCCCGUGCGAUGAGAUGUCUAGAUCUAUGUAAAGUUCCUUCGAAGAGUCGAGUUGUUUGGGAAUGCAGCUCUAAGUGGGUGGUAAAUUCCAUCUAAAGCUAAAUAUUGGCGAGAGACCGAUAGCGAACAAGUACAGUGAUGGAAAGAUGAAAAGAACUUUGAAAAGAGAGUGAAAAAGUACGUGAAAUUGUUGAAAGGGAAGGGCUUGAGAUCAGACUUGGUAUUUUGUAUGUUACUCUCUCGGGGGUGGCCUCUACAGUUUACCGGGCCAGCAUCAGUUUGAGCGGUAGGAGAAUUGCGUAGGAAUGUGGCUCGGCCUCGGUCGAGUGUUAUAGCCUUCGUCGAUACUGCCAGCUUAGACUGAGGACUGCGGCUUCGGCCUAGGAUGUUGGCAUAAUGAUCUUAAGUCGCCCGUCUUGACCAC